GAGUUCCCAUGGUACUUGGGUAGCAUCAGGGGCAGGCAGCCAUGAGGUGGGUGGUGAGCUGAUUUGCUUUCUGCAGAGGAGCCCAGGGAGGGUAUCCACAUUGAACUCGUAUGUCCAUAGGAGGAAACCCAAGUCCUUUGGUCCCUGCAGUGUACUGGUGGUGGGAAGGGGAGAGGGCUGUGCAUGCAUGUACCAAGCGACAUUCCAUGUGGGUCGUGGAGCAAUGACUAUGAGCCUCUUUUGGGAGUUGUAGGGUGCCCAUGCUCCAUUUCAUGAUGACCUUGGGGUGCUGGGAUGGGAAUGAGAUUGCAAGUCCCUGUGUUCCUGCCACUUCGCAGACUGACUUGGUUUGAGAGAUCUGUGUUCAGGAACCCCUGUGGGAUGCUUGUCUGUGUUAGGCAUUUGAGCAGAUAUUGGCCCAGGGUUUCUACCCUUCCAUGGUUGUACAUACUGCUGGAAGGGCUUGUUGCUCCCUCUGUAUUGAUGAGGGGAAGUUUUGCCCAGGAGAGCCUGAUGCCAUUUGCUUCUGAACUGCUCAGGCACUUCAAUGCAGUUGAGGUUAAGAGUGUGUCACUUCCCAUGUCGUGGUAGCAUCUACUCAGAAAAGUGACCCGUCAAGGUCUCUGCACUUAAAUUCUCCAUUAUCUUAUGAUGUUAGGUUAUUUUCAAAUUCCUCCUAAUUCUUCACAACAGUCCUCUUUGUGAAACAGUCAUGAAGUUGUAUGAGGGCUGUCAUCCACAGGCCAGUGAUGGAGAGUUUUGUACUCUGUGGCCAUGUUCACAGGCAAGUGGCUUAAGACGUAUCGUGUUCUCAGGGACAGCACCAUAGAAGCCCUGUAGGAUUCAGCAUGUCUGAUGCUUUUCUGGUUCCCUGAGCUGCACCUGUGAGGAAGGCCAGAGGUGGAGGUUGAUGUGUGAUUGAAUGUGUUUCUCAAUGCAAAGUGUGUGGAAGGAGCUUCAAGGCCGAAGGAAAGUUGUUCUUUGUGCUGGAACACUUUUUCCCUGCAGCUCUCCCCAUUGAAAUAUCCUCAUGGCUGUUGUCUUCUCUGAUGGCCAAGAGAAUGGCUUUUGAGUCAGGGGUGGUGAAAGUGUGGUAUUGAGAGAAUUCUUCGCGCUUAGUGUUCUCUAGUUUGAUGGUGCCCUUGAAAUGCAUGCCUGCCUUAUACCUUCAUGCCUGGGUAUAUCUGUGCAUAAGUCCCCAAAGAGAGGUCACCCAUGGGAGGUAGAUAUAGAAUACAGCAUGGCAGGAGGAAUGGCAUGGCCCUUGCAAACUGUGUACCUGCCUGCCUUUCUCAAGCACACCUGUUUUUCCUCUGCACUUCCCAGGUGGCAUGGGCAUGCAAAGAAAGACAGAGGCUGCAAGGGAUAAACUUCAUCUUGGGAGAUCCCUGGAGAUGGCAGGGAACCCAUGGACACAUGUGGCAUGGGCUCCUUUGGGUGCCGGUGGAUCCCUUCAUACGGUAAAGCCAGAGUUGGGUAUCAACCAGAUACACUGCAGGGGAUCAGAGGACAUGGCCUUUGUGUACUGCACAUCUGUCAGAUUUUCUCAAGCACACCCGUGUUUCCUCUUCACCUCCCACGUGGAAGUGAUGAAUUGGCCAGGACCAUGUUGGUGAGGGACAAUCAUCAUCUCAUGUUAACCUCAGAGAAGCCAGGAAGCUCCUGGACACACAUGGUGUAGGCUUCCUUGGAGGCUGUUGGAUCUCUCCUGAAUGUAAGCAAUUCCUUCCCAGUGCACCCUGAUUUUCCUCAUUUGCAGAAACAAAGAUUGUGUGUGGAUCGAUGAUGACUUCCAUAUAUACAUUCCUUGGAAAGCUGAACAAAAUGAGUGAAAACUCUAUACCGUCAUUCUCGUCGAACUGAGGUCCA
ensembl:lncRNA SNHG14 small nucleolar RNA host gene 14